GCGCCCUUAGUUCAGUUGGAUAGAGCAACGGCCUUCUAAGCCGUAGAUCACAGGUUCGAACCCUGUAGGGCGUGC
rnacentral:tRNA from 1 species